rnacentral:rRNA from 1 species
GACGAACGCUGGCGGCGUGCUUAACACAUGCAAGUCGAACGGAAAGGCUCCUGCUUGUAGGGGUACUCGAGUGGCGAACGGGUGAGUAACACGUGGGUGAUCUGCCUUGCACUCUGGGAUAAGCUUGGGAAACUGGGUCUAAUACCGGAUAGGAACCGUCUUUAGUGUGGUGGUUGGAAAGUUUUUUCGGUGCAAGAUGAGCUCGCGGCCUAUCAGCUUGUUGGUGGGGUAAUGGCCUACCAAGGCGUCGACGGGUAGCCGGCCUGAGAGGGUGUACGGCCACAUUGGGACUGAGAUACGGCCCAGACUCCUACGGGAGGCAGCAGUGGGGAAUAUUGCACAAUGGGCGGAAGCCUGAUGCAGCGACGCCGCGUGGGGGAUGACGGCCUUCGGGUUGUAAACUCCUUUCGACAGGAACGAAGCGCAAGUGACGGUACCUGUAUAAGAAGCACCGGCUAACUACGUGCCAGCAGCCGCGGUAAUACGUAGGGUGCGAGCGUUGUCCGGAAUUACUGGGCGUAAAGAGCUCGUAGGUGGUUUGUCGCGUCGUCUGUGAAAUUCCGGGGCUUAACUCCGGGCGUGCAGGCGAUACGGGCAUAACUUGAGUGCUGUAGGGGAGACUGGAAUUCCUGGUGUAGCGGUGAAAUGCGCAGAUAUCAGGAGGAACACCGAUGGCGAAGGCAGGUCUCUGGGCAGUUACUGACGCUGAGGAGCGAAAGCAUGGGUAGCGAACAGGAUUAGAUACCCUGGUAGUCCAUGCCGUAAACGGUGGGCGCUAGGUGUAGGGGGCUUCCACGUCUUCUGUGCCGUAGCUAACGCAUUAAGCGCCCCGCCUGGGGAGUACGGCCGCAAGGCUAAAACUCAAAGGAAUUGACGGGGGCCCGCACAAGCGGCGGAGCAUGUGGAUUAAUUCGAUGCAACGCGAAGAACCUUACCUGGGCUUGACAUACACCAGAUCGCUGCAGAGAUGUAGUUUCCCUUGUGGUUGGUGUACAGGUGGUGCAUGGUUGUCGUCAGCUCGUGUCGUGAGAUGUUGGGUUAAGUCCCGCAACGAGCGCAACCCUUGUCUUAUGUUGCCAGCAUUUUGGUUGGGGACUCAUGAGAGACUGCCGGGGUUAACUCGGAGGAAGGUGGGGAUGACGUCAAAUCAUCAUGCCCCUUAUGUCCAGGGCUUCACACAUGCUACAAUGGUCGGUACAACGCGCAGCGAUACUGUGAGGUGGAGCGAAUCGCUGAAAGCCGGUCUUAGUUCGGAUUGGGGUCUGCAACUCGACCCCAUGAAGUCGGAGUCGCUAGUAAUCGUAGAUCAGCAAUGCUGCGGUGAAUACGUUCCCGGGCCU